rnacentral:rRNA from 1 species
GUGGGGAAUCUUGCGCAAUGGGCGAAAGCCUGACGCAGCCAUGCCGCGUGAAUGAUGAAGGUCUUAGGAUUGUAAAAUUCUUUCACCGGGGACGAUAAUGACGGUACCCGGAGAAGAAGCCCCGGCUAACUUCGUGCCAGCAGCCGCGGUAAUACGAAGGGGGCUAGCGUUGCUCGGAAUUACUGGGCGUAAAGGGCGCGUAGGCGGACAUUUAAGUCAGGGGUGAAAUCCCAGAGCUCAACUCUGGAACUGCCUUUGAUACUGGAUGUCUUGAGUGUGAGAGAGGUAUGUGGAACUCCGAGUGUAGAGGUGAAAUUCGUAGAUAUUCGGAAGAACACCAGUGGCGAAGGCGACAUACUGGCUCAUUACUGACGCUGAGGCGCGAAAGCGUGGGGAGCAAACAGGAUUAGAAACCCUGGUAGUCC